GAAAGUUGAAAAGCACUCUGAAUAGAGAGUCAAAGAGUACGUGAAACUGCCUAGGGGACGCAAACCUGUAGAACCCAAUGUUCCGUGCGGUGCGAUAUUCAGCGGUACGUUGGCCCACGCCGGGUCGGCUGCCGUGCACUUAUCAAGACCGCAGCAACGGACAUCGCGAUCCAUUACAAUACUCCUACUGGCAAUGGCCCCUAGCUCGUGGUUGGCGGCUCCUCAGUACGGGACGCUCGGCGGCUUCCCGGACCAGGUGUCUCCGCGCCUUUCACACCAGAGAGGCGCAGGGCCCGACCGAGCUUGGUGUGUCGCUGGAAGCGUGAUGGAUUGAUACGAGCGGGGAUGAGAGCGCACGGCCUACUAGCCCGAAGGCCCAUCAGCACUUGACCCUCCGAUCGGUGAUGACGCAUUAAGCAUUGGGGCACCUACGGGACCCGUCUUGAAACACGG
rnacentral:rRNA from 1 species